UACAGAGGGUGCGAGCGUUAAUCGGAAUUACUGGGCGUAAAGGGCGCGUAGGCGGAUGAAUGGGUGUGAUGUGAAAGCCCUGGGCUUAACCUGGGAAGUGCAUCGCAAACUGUUUAUCUGGAGUAGAUGAGAGGGUGGCGGAAUUUCCGGUGUAGCGGUGAAAUGCGUAGAGAUCGGAAGGAACGUCGAUGGCGAAGGCAGCCACCUGGCAUCAUACUGACGCUGAGGCGCGAAAGCGUGGGGAGCGAAC
rnacentral:rRNA from 1 species